CAUAGCAGCCUGAUGAUCCGGUCGCAAUCGCGAUCGGAGUGUCGCAGGGAAGCCGUUAAGCUUGCCGCCUGGGGAGUACGGUCGCAAGACUGAAACUUAAUUGAAUUGGCGGGGGAGCACCACAAGGGGUGAAGCCUGCGGUUCACUUGGAGUCAACGCCCGGAAACUUACCAGGACAGACAGCAGGUUGAGGGUCAAGCUGAAGACUUUACCUGACGAGCUGAGAGGAGGUGCAUGGCAGCA
rnacentral:rRNA from 1 species